UUUUUUUUUUUUUUUUACUAAUACGCAUAGACAAGCUAUACCGACAGCUAACAGUCGGUCCUAUUGUGGAAUAUUCGUUUAUACCAGGGGCGUAAGUACACGCAGGGCCGGAUCGAAGCCGCGUGCACUCGCACGAGCACCGCGCUUUUAAGGGACCAGCAUUGAUGGGAGAUUUCGAUUCUGUACUGAAAGAUUACAUAUUUAAAACAGUAAUCCCAAAACGGAUUAAGAACUAAAAACGCACACCCGUACAUACUUGUAUUUAACUCGUGUAGCAUGCAAAAUUAACCGAUUACACGAAUGGCCAAACGAAAUACGAUGUUAGAAAUUGUCAAUAGAAUAAAAUAAUCUAAAUAUUAUUCGAUUUCGUUAGAUUUCGUCCCUGACGUUAGCCACCGCGAACACCUGCAAUUAUCGGUUGUUGUACGAUGUAUAGACACAGAAACUACCGCUAAAUUGAACCUCCUGUAUGUUUUGAAAUCGUUGAGAGUUCAACAGGGCGAAAGUCUGUCCGAUAAAAUGACGCAUUCGGUAAAGUCAGAAGGGUCGUGUACAUCUGACUAUUGUGCGAGCUCGUGUACCGCGUCGGAUACAUCCAGUUGAAAGCCCCGCACGACGCUUAGACGUUUUCCAGGCCGGCCUUCCGUGCACAUGACUAUUGUGUAGCGGAUGAAUGGGGCAAGUGACGAACAAUUCCGAUGCGAGAAAGUUUUAAUUGUCCGUUUUUUUUUUUAUUUUUUUUUUUUUUCUGAAAUUGCAUUCAAAAUUUUAAGAAAAAAUAGUUUGAUUCGGUUGCAGAUAUUCGAAUAUCACGAUCGAAACGCGAAUCGCACGCUACAUUAUAACGAUUGUCGGCAGUGCGCAUUCGAUUAUCUACAAUGUAGACGUA